rnacentral:rRNA from 1 species
ACUCCUACGGGAGGCAGCAGUGGGGAAUAUUGCACAAUGGGCGCAAGCCUGAUGCAGCCAUGCCGCGUGUAUGAAGAAGGCCUUCGGGUUGUAAAGUACUUUCAGCAGUGAGGAAGGUGGGUAUGUUAAUAGCAUACUCAUUUGACGUUAGCUGCAGAAGAAGCACCGGCUAACUCCGUGCCAGCAGCCGCGGUAAUACGGAGGGUGCGAGCGUUAAUCGGAAUUACUGGGCGUAAAGCGCAUGCAGGUGGUUUGUUAAGUCAGAUGUGAAAGCCCGGGGCUCAACCUCGGAAUUGCAUUUGAAACUGGCAAACUAGAGUACUGUAGAGGGGGGUAGAAUUUCAGGUGUAGCGGUGAAAUGCGUAGAGAUCUGAAGGAUACCGGUGGCGAAGGCGGCCCCCUGGACAGAUACUGACACUCAGAUGCGAAAGCGUGGGGAGCAAACAGGAUUAGAUACCCUGGUGACUCUGC